ACGCCUGAAAAAUGCCUGAAUUCACACUUUACAAUCUGUAUUUCACCAUGAAUAAGCUCCUAUGUGUCUUCCUGCUGCUGGCAUUCGUUGCUAUGGUCGUGAAAGCCGGCGAACUGUUUCCUGAAUUCGUCUGUGACAAUGAUGACGAGUGCCGUCAACGAUGGCCACAACACCAACACAUCAUUUGCUGGAGGGAAGCAGGCAUGUGUGCCACCAAUGAGUAGACGCUAUUAGUCGUUUCUAUCGAUUAUUUUGAGACAAUAAAUAUGAAGAAUUUAUGAACAACUUAA